GCAUCUAAAAGCGCUUCGUAAGGAAUACAUAGCAGUUUGUGCUUUUCGUUCAUAGAUUACUUCCCCCAAAAUGUAACAAAAUCAUCAACCUAGAAGUCAAAGUAAUUGAAGCCCACAAAUUCUAAACACCAACAGAUCUUUCAUGCCUAGGGAAACCAGGAAAAAAAAGUUUCCUUUUUGCAUCAAGAUCCCUACUUUUUUAUUUAGACCUAGCUAUGCAACUAGAAG